CUACGGAAGCAUUCUUCCUGAAAUGGGGUUCAGAUUCAGGCAGCCAAUCGUCACAGAAGUCCUGGGUGCAGCCUGUAUCACCGUACAGAUAUCAAUACAUGUACCCCUACGAGUCAAGAAAGAUCUAUCAAGUCCAACCUCAGCAGUAUUCUCAGCCUGAAAUACAAAUGCAACAUAACAUGGCACCGAUACCGAUAAGCGUGCCCGCUGGAGCGAGCCUCACUCCAGUUUCCCUUCAGCAUGUUCAACUUGUACCCUG
rnacentral:misc_RNA from 1 species